GAGCGGCGAACUGGUGAGUAACACGUAGGUAACCUACCUAAGAGAACAGGAUAACACCUGGGAACAGAUGCUAAUACUGUAUAACAAUUAAAACCACAUGGUUUCGAUUUAAAAGAUGGCUUUUAUGCUAUCGCUCCUAGAUGGACCUGCGGCGCAUUAGCUAGUUGGUAAGAUAAAGGCUUACCAAGGCAAUGAUGCGUAGCCGACCUAAGAGGGUAAUCGGCCACACUGGAACUGAGACACGGUCCAGACUCCUACGGGAGGCAGCAGUAGGGAAUCUUCCACAAUGGACGAAAGUCUGAUGGAGCAACGCCGCGUGAGUGAAGAAGGGUUUCGGCUCGUAAAACUCUGUUGUUAGAGAAGAACGAAUAUGAGAGUAACUGCUCGUAUUGUGACGGUAUCUAACCAGAAAGUCACGGCUAACUACGUGCCAGCAGCCGCGGUAAUACGCAGGUGGCAAGCGUUGUCCGGAUUUAUUGGGCGUAAAGUGAGUGUAGGCGGUUUCUUAAGUCUGAUGUGAAAGCCUUCGGCUCAACCGAAGAAGUGCAUUGGAAACUGAGAAACUUGAGUGCAGAAGAAGACAGUGGAACUCAAUGUGUAGCGGUGAAAUGCGUAGAUAUAUUGAGGAACACCAGUGGCGAAGGCGGCUGUCUAGUCUGCAACUGACGCUGAGGCUCGAAAGCAUGGGUAGCGAACAAGAUUAGAUACCCUGGUAGUCCAUGCCGUAAACGAUGAGUGCUAGGUGUUGGGAAGUUUCCACUUCUCAGUGCCGCAGCUAACGCAUUAAGCACUCCGCCUGGGGAGUACGAUCGCAAGAUUGAAACUCAAAGGAAUUGACGGGGGCCCGCACAAGCGGUGGAGCAUGUGGUUUAAUUCGAUGCUACGCGAAAAGCCUUACCAGGUCUUGACAUCUUCUGUUAGCCUAAGAGAUUAGGUGUCUUCUUCGGAAGCAGAAUGACAGGUGGUGCAUGGUUGUCGUCAGCUCGUGUCGUGAGAUGUUGGGUUAAGUCCCACAACGAGCGCAACCCCUAUCGUUAGUUGCCAUCAUUAAGUUGGGCACUCUAGCGAGACUGCCGGUGAUAAACCGGAGGAAGGUGGGGAUGACGUCAAAUCAUCAUGCCCCUUAUGACCUGGGCUACACACGUGCUACAAUGGACGAUACAACGAGUCGCGAAACCGUAAGGUGAAGCCAAUCUUUAAAAGUCGUUCUCAGUUCGGAUUGUAGUCUGCAACUCGACUACAUGAAGCUGGAAUCGCUAGUAAUCGUGGAUCAGCAUGCCACGGUGAAUACGUUCCCGGGCCUUGUACACACCGCCCGUCACACCAUGAGAGUUUGUAAUACCCAAAGUCGGUGAAGUAACC
rnacentral:rRNA from 1 species